CUAUUUUUAAUAUAACUCACGUAUAUGCCAGUAUAUCAACAGUUUUUAAGAUUUGAAGAAAUUCAUAGCAGUUAUUCGAUUAGUUUAUUUGUUGUCUGAAACAACUCUGUUUUGAAAAGCAAUAUUAUUCAGAUGUGUCGUAACAUUAAUUUGUUUUGAAAAAGGACAAAUGAAAUUGAGUUUCGAGCUACUACUUAAUUU
rnacentral:lncRNA from 1 species